rnacentral:rRNA from 1 species
GGAGGAAUAUUGGGCAAUGGACGAAAGUCUGACCCAGCAACGCCGCGUGAAGGAUGAAGGCCUUCGGGUCGUAAACUUCUUUUGAGGGAGACGAGAAAGGACGGUAUCCCUCGAAUAAGCCACGGCUAACUACGUGCCAGCAGCCGCGGUAAAACGUAGGUGGCGAGCGUUAUCCGGAUUCAUUGGGCGUAAAGAGCUUGUAGGUGGUGCGAUAAGUUGGACGUGAAAACUCCGGGCUUAACUUGGAGAGGCCGUUCAAUACUGUUGUGCUAGAGGGCGUCAGAGGGAAGUGGAAUUCCUGGUGUAGCAGUGAAAUGCGUAGAUAUCAGGAGGAACAUCCGUGGCGAAGGCGGCUUCCUGGGGCGCACCUGACACUGAGAAGCGAAAGCUAGGGGAGCAAACGGGAUUAGAAACCCCGGUAGUCCUAGCUGUAAACGAUGGAUGCUAGGUGUGAGUGGAUCUAACCCCGCUCGUGCCGAAGCUAACGCGUUAAGCAUCCCGCCUGGGAACUACGAGCGCAAGCUUAAAAACUCAAAUGAAUUGACGGGGUCAUAGCUGUUUCC